UGUUGAUCCUGGCUCUAGAUUGAACGCUGGCGGCAUGCCUUACACAUGCAAGUCGAACGGCAGCACGGGGGCAACCCUGGUGGCGAGUGGCGAACGGGUGAGUAAUACAUCGGAACGUGUCCUGUAGUGGGGGAUAGCCCGGCGAAAGCCGGAUUAAUACCGCAUACGAUCUACGGAAGAAAGCGGGGGAUCGCAAGACCUCGCGCUAUAGGGGCGGCCGAUGGCAGAUUAGCUAGUUGGUGGGGUAAAGGCCUACCAAGGCGACGAUCUGUAGCUGGUCUGAGAGGACGACCAGCCACACUGGGACUGAGACACGGCCCAGACUCCUACGGGAGGCAGCAGUGGGGAAUUUUGGACAAUGGGGGAAACCCUGAUCCAGCAAUGCCGCGUGUGUGAAGAAGGCCUUCGGGUUGUAAAGCACUUUUGUCCGGAAAGAAAACUUCUGCCCUAAUACGGUGGGAGGAUGACGGUACCGGAAGAAUAAGCACCGGC
rnacentral:rRNA from 1 species